ensembl:lincRNA
GAGAGAGAAGGAGAAGGAGCCAAGAUGGAGUCCAUAGAGUCUGUUAGUCGUGAUGGACAGGAUGUGAGGGAUAUCACAUCAGGAGAUAGAUACCUUAUGAUUUCUGAAGAAUAGAUUCAGGAACCUGGCCAUGGUUACAGAGAAACAGGAAAGCUGGACAAAGGAAAGGACUUCUCUUAACACCACAUGCUAACAGCACACUGACCUCUGCAAAUGGUGUUUGCAGAGACUAUAAAUCUACAGUGAAGUUUUUUUGUUUUUGUUUUUGUUUUUAAUUCAACAAACUUGAAGUCUUGCAAAAGAACAACUGACACUCCGUGAACUGGGGUACUGCUCGGUGGAAAUAUCCCACUGACUGUGGCAAGUGCACAUUGCUCUUGUAAAAUCAUGGCCAAAAGUAAUACAUUGAGAGAGAUACCCAAUCAAGUUGAACAUUGACGAAUAAGAGAAACUUAGAGAAACGUCUAUGCCCAUGAUUCCACAUGAGAUUGUUAAGUGUACAGCUGGUUUUCUGGGGGGCAAUGGAAUGUAGGGAACUUGUGUCGACCUCCCUGAAGACCAAAACUGUUAUUCACAAAUCAAAUUGAGUUACAAACAGGUGGCCUUGCCUAUACCAGUUGUCAUCUUGGUCUAGGAAAGCACUUCCUUACCGUCCAGUAAAACUGCAUCAUAAGUGACAAGAAAAGGGAAGAGGAGAAACUUCUUUUGAGAUUGUAUGAAAGACUGCUCUAGAGUGAGAGCUUUGGAUAUGAAGGCAGCGCUCUAUCACACAGCAGAGUAACACCCAGGGGUGUCAAAAUUGGUUACUGUUGAUUUCCCUGAGGAAUUCUCUUGGUAGACAGUCACUCUGCUCAGUUUAUGGCCCUGGAACUGCAGGACACUUUGAAUAUAAACAUGGUAUUUUUUUUCCUGAAAGUACUUGGACAUGUUCCCUGUGUGUUUCUAACAAUACUCUAGCCGUUCACAUGAAUCUAACCAGUGUGGAUUUAUCUAAAUCUUUCUUUAUCCUAUUUAUAUUUGUAGACUACGCAACAUCUUGAGGAUAAUGAGUUCCAUAUGUUUACUACCCACUGUAUGAAGUAAUGCCAUCUUUUAUUUAUCGUCAAACUACUUUCAUAGAAUUUCAAUGGGCACUCUGAGUUUUAGCACUUCAGGAUCUGAGUGUGGUCACAUUUCACAGUAAUAGCCCACCCACACAGGCUUUUAUGUAGGUAAGAAAUGGUACCCUCUCUGUCUAGGUUCUUGUUCUGGUUUCAUUUCUGUUGCUUUGACAAAACACUCUACCAAAAGCAGUUUUAGGGGAGAAGGGUUCUUUUGGCUUAUAAUUCUAGGGUGCCAGAUAUCCUGUGGGGAUGUAGUAGCUACAGAGGCUUGCAGAACUCAGUAGCAUCACAUCCACAGUCAAGAGAGAAGAAGAACAAGUGGACCUGGGCUGCCUGCCUGCUCUCAACUAGCUUUAUGUACUCUCAUAUAGUUCAGGACCUAGACUAGGCAAUGGUGUGACCCAUGGUAGACUGGGUCUUCCUGCAUCAAUUAGCUUCAAGACUAUCUACCCCCAACCCCAUACACACACACACGGGCUUAUAGGUGGACUCGAUCUAAGCAGUUCUUCACAGAGAUUCCUUCCCUUUGAGGUGAAUUCUAUGUUGUGCCAAGUUGACAAUCAAAGCCAAAGAACACAACACUCUAUUUAGGAAAACAUUUUUCCUCUUUCAGACAGAUGCAGCCCUGUGUCAGAUGCAUAGCUCUGCUAGGGAAGUGCUAAGAUGUCUAUCCUUCUUGGCAUUCUGACCCCCCUCUUUUGUGCCCUUGGCUGGGUACUUGUCCAGGACUCAACUAGGACAGGGAUAGACAGUACUCUGGGCCUAACCACAGAGAUCAUUAAAAGACUGUUGAUAUUAACAAAAUUCUUUCUGAAAGUUCAUCUCCUAAGAAAAGAGGUCUUCCUUUUGGUCAGUCCCUAAUUUACAGCCUAUUUCCCAUGUCUGUAGGCUUGAGGCUCUGACUGAAGAGUCCCGGUACUCUACAGUCUCCUCAGAUGCCCCAGAUGCAGUGACAACUGUGGUGAUAUUAUAAUCACAGGUUAGGUUAAUUUACUUUUGGUCACUGUUAGCUUACAUGUGCACAUUUUGGGGAUCUCUCCGUACAUUUCACAUCUUGAUGCAACCUGUUUUUCAUUUUACCCUCGUCAAUUCAAAUUUCCCACCUUCCAGAUUUAAUUUUGUAUUUUUGUUAAAAUUGCACUCAAACCCAAAACAACAAAAAAAACUUCAACAGUAUGUGGGUAAUACAACACUUUAGAGAAAGGUUAUUUUAUAUGUCUGGGUGUUUUGCCACUUGGAUGCCUGGUAUUGGAAGUUCAGAGGUGGGCAUUGCAACUCCCAAGAUUAUUGUAUUACACAGUUAUGAUCCACCAAGUGGUUGCCGGGAAUCAAACUCAGGUCAUGUGGAAGAGCAUUCAAUGCUCUAAACCCCAGAACUCUCUCGCUGGCAAAAAAACAAAACAAAACAAAACAAAACAAAACAAAAAGAACCUUUUAAGCUGGCUGUGGUAGUACAAAGCACUCAGGAAGCAGAGGUCGGUGGAUUACUUUGAGUUCAAGGUUAGCCUGGUCUACAUAGCAAGUUCCAGGACAACUAGAGCUACAUAAUAAAGAGAAUCUCUCUUAAUAAAAUAAAAAUACUUUUUAAAUGCUUACAUAUUUUAGAUUCACAUAACACUUUUAAAACAGUGACUUGCAAGAUGUGUCAGUAGGUAAAGUACCUGCUGUUGAGCCUGACUGACACCCAGGACUCUGACCUCUGUGCUCUUGCCGUAGGACACACAUUUAUGUACCUAAAUAAAUAAAUAAAUAUAAAU